rnacentral:rRNA from 1 species
GACGUAGGGCGCGAGCGUUGUCCGGAAUUAUUGGGCGUAAAGAGCUCGUAGGCGGCUUGUCGCGUCGACUGUGAAAACCUGCAGCUCAACUGUGGGCUUGCAGUCGAUACGGGCAGGCUAGAGUUCGGUAGGGGAGACUGGAAUUCCUGGUGUAGCGGUGAAAUGCGUAGAUAUCGGGAGGAACACCGGUGGCGAAGGCGGCGACCUGGGUUGGUAUUGACGCUGAGGCGCGAAAGCGUGGGGAGCAAACAGG